rnacentral:piRNA from 1 species
UAAUCACCAUGCAACCCCUACAAUUCUUGC